rnacentral:rRNA from 1 species
AGCCAGACUCCUACGGGAGGCAGCAGUGGGGAAUAUUGCACAAUGGGGGAAACCCUGAUGCAGCGACGCCGCGUGAGUGAAGAAGUAUUUCGGUAUGUAAAGCUCUAUCAGCAGGGAAGAAAAUGACGGUACCUGACUAAGAAGCCCCGGCUAACUACGUGCCAGCAGCCGCGGUAAUACGUAGGGGGCAAGCGUUAUCCGGAUUUACUGGGUGUAAAGGGAGCGUAGACGGCAUGGCAAGUCAGAUGUGAAAGCCCGGGGCUCAACCCCGGGACUGCAUUUGAAACUGUCAGGCUGGAGUGCAGGAGAGGUAAGUGGAAUUCCUAGUGUAGCGGUGAAAUGCGUAGAUAUUAGGAGGAACACCAGUGGCGAAGGCGGCUUACUGGACUGUAACUGACGUUGAGGCUCGAAAGCGUGGGGAGCAAACAGGAUUAGAUACCCGUGUAA